UUCGGCAGCCAUAUCACCCUGCAGCCCAAGACUGGUUGCCCAUUGAAGCUAAGCAGGGUUUAGCUGGUCAGUACCUGGAUGGGAGACCUCCUGGGAAAACUAGGUUGCUGCUGGAA
ensembl:rRNA 5S_rRNA 5S ribosomal RNA